rnacentral:rRNA from 1 species
AUUGAACGCUGGCGGCAGGCCUAACACAUGCAAGUCGAACGGCAGCACGGGAGCAAUCCUGGUGGCGAGUGGCGAACGGGUGAGUAAUAUAUCGGAACGUGCCCAGUAGUGGGGGAUAACUGCUCGAAAGAGCAGCUAAUACCGCAUACGACCGGAGGGUGAACGGGGGGGAGCGCAAGGCCUCUCGCUAUUGGAGCGGCCGAUAUCCGAUUAGGUAGUGGGUGGGGUAAAGGCUAACCAAGCCAACGAUCUGUAGCUGGUCUGAGAGGACGACCAGCCACACUGGGACUGAGACACGGCCCAGACUCCUACGGGAGGCAGCAGUGGGGAAUUUUGGACAAUGGACGCAAGUCUGAUCCAGCCAUGCCGCGUGCGGGAAGAAGGCCUUCGGGUUGUAAACCGCUUUUGUCAGGGAAGAAACGCUCUGGGUUAAUACCUCGGGGUAAUGACGGUACCUGAAGAAUAAGCACCGGCUAACUACGUGCCAGCCGCCGCGGUAAGAC